CUGAGUGUUAGGCAAAUCCGGCACUCAUAAGGUUAAGCUGUGAUGGGGAGAGGAAAUUGUUUCCUCGAGUCGUUGAUUUCACACUGCCAAGAAAAGCCUCUAGAUAGAUAACAGGUGCCCGUACCGCAAACCGACACAGGUAGUCAAGAUGAGAAUUCUAAGGUGAGCGAGCGAACUCUCGUUAAGGAACUCGGCAAAAUGACCCCGUAACUUCGGGAGAAGGGGUGCUCUUUAGGGUGCAAGCCCAGAAGAGCCGCAGUGAAUAGGCCCAAGCGACUGUUUAUCAAAAACACAGGUCUCUGCUAAACCGUAAGGUGAUGUAUAGGGGCUGACGCCUGCCCGGUGCUGGAAGGUUAAGAGGAGUGGUUAGCUUCUGCGAAGCUACGAAUCGAAGCCCCAGUAAACGGCGGCCGUAACUAUAACGGUCCUAAGGUAGCGAAAUUCCUUGUCGGGUAAGUUCCGACCCGCACGAAAGGCGUAACGAUUUGGGCACUGUCUCAACGAGAGACUCGGUGAAAUCAUAGUACCUGUGAAGAUGCAGGUUACCCGCGACAGGACGGAAAGACCCCGUGGAGCUUUACUGUAGCCUGAUAUUGAAAUUCGGCACAGCUUGUACAGGAUAGGUAGGAGCCAUUGAAACGUGAGCGCUAGCUUACGUGGAGGCGCUGGUGGGAUACUACCCUAGCUGUGUUGGCUUUCUAACCCGCACCACUUAUCGUGGUGGGAGACAGUGUCAGGCGGGCAGUUUGACUGGGGCGGUCGCCUCCUAAAAGGUAACGGAGGCGCUCAAAGGUUCCCUCAGAAUGGUUGGAAAUCAUUCAUAGAGUGUAAAGGCAUAAGGGAGCUUGACUGCGAGACCUACAAGUCGAGCAGGGUCGAAAGACGGACUUAGUGAUCCGGUGGUUCCGCAUGGAAGGGCCAUCGCUCAACGGAUAAAAGCUACCCCGGGGAUAACAGGCUUAUCUCCCCCAAGAGUUCACAUCGACGGGGAGGUUUGGCACCUCGAUGUCGGCUCAUCGCAUCCUGGGGCUGUAGUCGGUCCCAAGGGUUGGGCUGUUCGCCCAUUAAAGCGGUACGCGAGCUGGGUUCAGAACGUCGUGAGACAGUUCGGUCCCUAUCCGUCGUGGGCGUAGGAAAUUUGAGAGGAGCUGUCCUUAGUACGAGAGGACCGGGAUGGACAUACCUCUGGUGUACCAGUUGUCGUGCCAACGGCAUAGCUGGGUAGCUAUGUAUGGACGGGAUAAGUGCUGAAAGCAUCUAAGCAUGAAGCCCCCCUCAAGAUGAGAUUUCCCAACUUCGGUUAUAAGAUCCCUCAAAGAUGAUGAGGUUAAUAGGUUCGAGGUGGAAGCGUGGCGACACGUGGAGCUGACGAAUACUAAUCGAUCGAAGACUUAAUCAA
rnacentral:rRNA from 1 species